GGCCGAGCCUGGCGAGCAAAGC
rnacentral:miRNA from 16 species